UAGCUUAGUGGUUAAGGCUUUGGAUCGCCAAUCCGGAGACGGCGGGUUCGAUUCCCGU
rfam:Aedes albopictus isolate Foshan contig147981, whole genome shotgun sequence.